rnacentral:rRNA from 1 species
CAGUAGCGUAUAUUAAAGUUGUUGCAGUUAAAAAGCUCGUAGUUGGAUUUCGGGACGGGCCAGUUGGUCCGCCGCAAGGUGUGUUACUGACUGGUCUGUUCUUCUUCGCAAAGACUGCGUGUGCUCUUCGUUGAGUGUGCGUAGGAUUUACGACGUUUACUUUGAAAAAAUUAGAGUGUUCAAAGCAGGCUAUCGCUUGAAUACAUGAGCAUGGAAUAAUGGAAUAGGACUUUGGUCCUAUUUUGUUGGUUUCUAGGACCGAAGUAAUGAUUAAGAAGGACAAUUGGGGGCAUCCGUAUUUCGUUGUCAGAGGUGAAAUUCUUGGAUUUACGAAAGACGAACAACUGCGAAAGCACUUGCCAAGAGUGUUUUCAUUAA